AUGGUCAGCUCCUCUCAAAUAAAUCAGCUUGCCAGUGUUUGGUGGCAUCACAGGUGUGAUAACUAUCUACGCUUGUUGUUGUACACCAGGUAACCUUCAGAGAUGGAGGUUCGCUGGAGCUCAUAGACGUCUCUCCUCAGUGAGGACAGCUUUUUUUAACGUUCGAUCUCAAAUCAGGUAGGACUACCCGCUGAACUUAA
rnacentral:misc_RNA from 1 species